rnacentral:rRNA from 1 species
GUAGUCAUAUGCUUGUCUCAAAGAUUAAGCCAUGCAUGUCUAAGUAUAAGCAAUUUAUACAGUGAAACUGCGAAUGGCUCAUUAGAUCAGUUAUCGUUUAUUUGAUAGUACCUUUACUACUUGGAUAACCGUGGUAAUUCUAGAGCUAAUACAUGCUAACAACCCCGACUGUUUGGGAGGGGUGUAUUUAUUAGAUAAAAAAUCAAUGCUCUUCUGAGCUCCUUGAUGAUUCAUAAUAACUUUUCGAAUCGCAUGGCCUUGUGCCGGCGAUGGUUCAUUCAAAUUUCUGCCCUAUCAACUUUCGAUGGUAGGAUAGAGGCCUACCAUGGCUUCAACGGGUAACGGGGAAU